GACGAACGCUGGCGGCGUGCCUAAUACAUGCCAGUAGAACGCUGAAGAGAGGAGCUUGCUCUUCUUGGAUGAGUUGCGAACGGGUGAGUAACGCGUAGAUAACCUGCCUUGUAGCGGGGGAUAACUAUUGGAAACGAUAGCUAAUACCGCAUAACAAUAGGUGACACAUGUCAUUUAUUUGAAAGGGGCAAUUGCUCCACUACAAGAUGGACCUGCGUUGUAUUAGCUAGUAGGUGAGGUAACGGCUCACCUAGGCGACGAUACAUAGCCGACCUGAGAGGGUGAUCGGCCACACUGGGACUGAGACACGGCCCAGACUCCUACGGGAGGCAGCAGUAGGGAAUCUUCGGCAAUGGGGGCAACCCUGACCGAGCAACGCCGCGGGAGUGAAGAAGGGUUUCGGAUCGGAAAGCUCUGUUGUAAGUCAAGAACGAGUGUGAGAGUGGAAAGUUCACACUGUGACGGUAGCUUACCAGAAAGGGACGGCUAACUACGUG
rnacentral:rRNA from 1 species